rnacentral:misc_RNA from 1 species
AAAAUGUUAUGGAAUAAUAUUAUCUUCUGUCAGAUUUAUUUCUUUAUUUUAAUUUUAUCAAUUAAUUAAAUUAUUAUACUAGAAAGUCCACCCAGCUAGGUAAAAUUUGAAGCCUAAAUAGGAGAGACUGCAUUGUUUAUAAGCAUAAGCAUCAUAUCAUAUGCAUAUCCAGGAGAGAGAGCCCUAUUGGGUAUUGGCUAUAACUGGUAUAUCUAUGAAUGCAGGUCGAAAAAAUGAGCCAACUGAGUUUCAUCCCUCUUAAUUUACCUGACAAGAGCAGCAGAAAAUUAAACAAUGUGAGUUCUAAUUCUACUUGAACCUGGCCUAGCUGUAUAUUUUUUCUCUUUUUUUUCCCCUUAUUAAUUCGAAAAUGUUUUAAAAGAAAUUCGAUUGUACAUUUAUGUAUGUGG